rnacentral:rRNA from 1 species
GUGGGGAAUAUUGGACAAUGGGCGAAAGCCUGAUCCAGCCAUGCCGCGUGUGUGAAGAAGGUCUUCGGAUUGUAAAGCACUUUAAGUUGGGAGGAAGGGCAGUAAGUUAAUACCUUGCUGUUUUGACGUUACCGACAGAAUAAGCACCGGCUAACUUCGUGCCAGCAGCCGCGGUAAUACGAAGGGUGCAAGCGUUAAUCGGAAUUACUGGGCGUAAAGCGCGCGUAGGUGGUUUUGUAAGUUGGAGGUGAAAUCCCCGGGCUCAACCUGGGGACUGCCUCCAAAACUGCAUGACUAGAGUACGGUAGAGGGUAGUGGAAUUUCCUGUGUAGCGGUGAAAUGCGUAGAUAUAGGAAGGAACACCAGUGGCGAAGGCGAAUACCUGGACUGAUACUGACACUGAGGUGCGAAAGCGUGGGGAGCAAACAGGAUUAGAAACCCGGGUAGUCC